GAUGAACGCUGGCGGCGUGCCUAAUACAUGCAAGUCGAGCGAACAGACGAGGAGCUUGCUCCUCUGACGUUAGCGGCGGACGGGUGAGUAACACGUGGAUAACCUACCUAUAAGACUGGGAUAACUUCGGGAAACCGGAGCUAAUACCGGAUAAUAUAUUGAACCGCAUGGUUCAAUAGUGAAAGACGGUUUUGCUGUCACUUAUAGAUGGAUCCGCGCCGCAUUAGCUAGUUGGUAAGGUAACGGCUUACCAAGGCGACGAUGCGUAGCCGACCUGAGAGGGUGAUCGGCCACACUGGAACUGAGACACGGUCCAGACUCCUACGGGAGGCAGCAGUAGGGAAUCUUCCGCAAUGGCGAAAGCCUGACGGAGCAACGCCGCGUGAGUGAUGAAGGUCUUCGGAUCGUAAAACUCUGUUAUUAGGGAAGAACAAAUGUGUAAGUAACUAUGCACGUCUUGACGGUACCUAAUCAGAAAGCCACGGCUAACUACGUG
rnacentral:rRNA from 1 species